rnacentral:rRNA from 1 species
CACGUAGGGCGCAAGCGUUGUCCGGAAUUAUUGGGCGUAAAGAGCUCGUAGGCGGUCUGUUGCGUCCGCUGUGAAAACUCGGGGCUUAACCCCGAGCCUGCAGUGGAUACGGGCAGACUAGAGGUAGGUAGGGGAGAAUGGAAUUCCCGGUGUAGCGGUGAAAUGCGCAGAUAUCGGGAGGAACACCGGUGGCGAAGGCGGUUCUCUGGGCCUUACCUGACGCUGAGGAGCGAAAGCGUGGGGAGCGAACAGGAUUGAGAAACCCGUGG